rnacentral:rRNA from 1 species
AUUGAACGCUAGCGGCAGGCCUAACACAUGCAAGUCGAACGAGUGGCGGACGGGUGAGUAAUGUCUGGGAACCUGCCCGAUGGAGGGGGAUAACUACUGGAAACGGUAGCUAAUACCGCAUACCAUCGGAUGUGCCCAGAUGGGCUUAGCUAGUAGGUGGGGUAACGGCUCACCGAGGCGACGAUCCAUAGCUGGUCUGAGAGGAUGACCAGCCACACUGGAACUGAGACACGGUCCAGACUCCUACGGGAGGCAGCAGGGGGGAAUAUUGCACAAUGGGCGCAAGCCUGAUGCAGCCAUGCCGCGUGUAUGAAGAAGGCCUUCGGGUUGUAAAGUACUUUCAGCGGGGAGGCGUUACCCGCAGAAGAAGCAUCGGCUAACUCCGUGCCAGCAGCCGCGGUAAUAC